GGAGAGGUACCCAAGUCCGGCCGAAGGGGCACGAUUGGAAAUCGUGUAGGCGAUAAGCCUCGCGGGUUCAAAUCCCGCCCUCUCCGCCA
rnacentral:tRNA from 1 species